rnacentral:rRNA from 1 species
AUGGCAAUGGACUCACCAAGAGUCUUGUUCGGUUGUGAGUCGUGGCAAAGUGUGUGUGUGCCUGUUAUAAACUGUUAUUAUCGUGCUACGGAUAUGAUGGAAGUAAUGAGAGUUGAGUUGAGUGAUGUUCCUGUGAGAAUUGCUUCUUGUUGGUGUCGUCUGGUGCAUGGCUUCGUCUCUCCCCCUUCUCAAAGUGAAAGAAAACGCAGUGGCAAGCAAAAUGGAGAAGAUGAAAAAAUGGGAAUGGACGCCACGACACCGCGACCGUCAUGUCAUGGGCAGAGGCACAGCACACACAGUCCCACCGACUGCCUACAAACUGAAAUUCAGAAUUCUCAUUCACCUUCACAAGGAACAUGUGGCUGUGGGGAUACUUAUACUAGAUAUACAUAUUAG